CAAUAGCGUAUAUUAAAGUUGUUGCGGUUAAAAAGCUCGUAGUUGGAUUUCUGUUGGGAACGACCGGUCCGCCCAUUGGGUGUGUAUCUGGCUUGUUCUCGGCAUCUUCUUGGUGAACGUUGCUGCACUUGACUGUGUGGAGCGCUACCCAGGACUUUUACUUUGAGGAAAUUAGAGUGUUUCAAGCAGGCAUAUGCCUUGAAUACAUUAGCAUGGAAUAAUAAGAUAGGACCUCGGUUCUAUUUUGUUGGUUUCUAGAGCUGAGGUAAUGAUUAAUAGGGAUAGUUGGGGGCAUUCGUAUUUAACUGUCAGAGGCGAAAUUCUUGGAUUUGUUAAAGACGGACUACUGCGAAAGCAUUUGCCAAGGAUGUUUUCAUUG
rnacentral:rRNA from 1 species